rnacentral:rRNA from 1 species
GACAGAGGUGCCGAGCGUUAGGCGGAAUCACUGGGCUUAAAGCGUGUGUAGGCGGGCGAUCAAGUACCUUGUGAAAUCCCACGGCUCAACCGUGGAACCGCUGGGUAUACUGGUUGUCUUGAGCCGGCUAGGGGCGAGCGGAACAGACGGUGGGGCGGUGAAAUGCGUAGAUAUCGUCUGGAACGCCGAAGGUGAAAACAGCUCGCUGGGGCCGCGCUGACGCUGAGACACGAAAGCCCAGGGGAGCGAACGGG